rnacentral:lncRNA from 1 species
CAUUUACAAGUCGGAGCAUUGUUAGUUGUUUGUAUCAAAUAUUUUUGUCCUUUAGGGAAGUUUGUUGUUGAAAGCUGAUAUUUGGUAGUUCUUAUUCUCCAGUCUCGGACGUUAAUUGGUAAGGAGAUUUAGAGCUGAAUAUAGGGUAAUGACACCUGAAUAUUGUCGUAUAUUUACCCCUUGUUUUUUUUUUUAUAUGUAUCAUACUGACAUAUUCCUUACAUUUGCCUCAUGCAUAAUAUGUUGAUUAAAUCCUUUCUUCGCAUUAAAUAUGUAUGAAAUAUUUGCUACUGGACA